AACGAACGCUGGCGGCAUGCCUAACACAUGCAAGUCGAACGAGACCUUCGGGUCUAGUGGUGCACGGGUGCGUAACGCGUGGGGACCUGCCCUUAGGUUCGGAAUAACUCCCCGAAAGGGGUGCUAAUACCGGAUAAUGUCUUCGGACCAAAGAUUUAUCGCCUUUGGAUGGGCCCGCGUUGGAUUAGCUAGUUGGUAGGGUAAAAGCCUACCAAGGCGACGAUCCAUAGCUGGUCUGAGAGGAUGAUCAGCCACACUGGGACUGAGACACGGCCCAGACUCCUACGGGAGGCAGCAGUGGGGAAUAUUGGACAAUGGGCGAAAGCCUGAUCCAGCAAUGCCGCGUGAGUGAUGAAGGCCUUAGGGUUGUAAAGCUCUUUUACCCGGGAUGAUAAUGACAGUACCGGGAGAAUAAGCUCCGGCUAACUCCGUG
rnacentral:rRNA from 1 species